AUAUAUUCAUUCUACAAAUAGAAAAUUUAAUCACAAAAAGAUAAUAUAAUGAUAGAUAAGGUUUCAUAUAUAAUAAUUACUGACAAAAUUAGUGGCACUGUACAACCAUGGUGAAAUAUUUUUUGGACUACCCUUCAGCUAAAGUUUUAGCUAACAUCCCUAAACUUAAUAUGAUAUUUUGUCCAACGUUCCUAGCAAAGCAAAAGUCUACUGAUUGUAUGUCUUCAAAACCCGCAUCUAUAUUUGUAAACUUUAGCCUCCAAAACCUGUAAAAAUAUUCAAAAAAUCCUUUUAAUAAGAAAUUGUAAAUAUCACUAGAAAAUUAUAUUAAAUAAUUUUUUCAAUUUUACUCUAAUAAUAAUUUGACCUCUCACCUUGAAAAGUGUCCAAAUUCACCAAGUGUAGUAUAUAUACACUUCAAAAAUAAAAUAGCAAUGUAAACGAGGCUGCAUGAAUAUAAAAAAAAUGAAUUAAAAAAACUAUGUUAUAUAACUGUUGUGUCAUUUAUGAAAACCUAGAAGGAUAAUCCUCAACCAAGAACAACAAAUUUUGUUUCAAGUUGAACAUCUAGACAAUAGUUUAUAUGUACUUAAUGAAAAUCUAAACAAUAGUGUAUAUCCACAAGGCACAUCUGAAACAUCAAAGCAGUAAAGCUAUAAGGAAUUUUAUUUUUACUGAAGUUUGAUAGCUUUUAUGCAUCUAACUUGGUAGGUAUUCAUGCAGAAAUGAUGCACUUGUGGGUAACUUAUCAAAAGCUCUUAUCACAGCAAUUGUGGAAGUUUCUUGUAUCGCUAAACAUGAAAAAAUAAGACCAUUGCAAUGUGGAGGAAGCUAUAGCAUAUUUUAUUUUCUUGAAGUACCAGCAGAUGAAACCACUAAUUGCAGCAAUUGUCAUAUACUACAUAGUAAAUACACGAGAAAGCUCUUUAGUGCAGAGCUCGCCAUCAAUAAUAGACUAAGCCUUAAUUCCAAACAAAUUGAGGUCGAUUAUAUCAAUCCUCUCAAUAAAUUGUCGCCACUCAGACAUUCAUGAAAAAGCUCACAGCAAAAACAAAAUCAAUACAACACCAUACAAGUAGCAAGUAACACCAUACAGUACCAACCCACUUUUAAAUGCAACACCAUACAAAUAAGUUGAUGAAUUCUAGCGACUCCACAAAUAUUUUUUACAUGUAAAUAGUCCAUGAACUCCAUUGAUUUCACAAAGGUACAUCAAUUAGAAAAAGAAAUUUACACCAGCAAAUAUAGUAAAACAAGCAUUCUUAAAUAUAUGCAUUGAACUCAUCUUCUAGUGAGGCAGAUUGUCUCCCUCCAUAUUAUUUGCAUAUAGUGGAAUUGACCUAUUUCAUUCCACGUCGAUUGGGUGGAACUCUUUGGUAACACACGCUGGGUGAGCAUGGGGGAAAUUGAAAUUAAGAAAAGACAAUUGGUGCAGGAUUUAAGAAGCAUCAUGGGUGGGGUUUGAGCUGCAUUUUGCUGUCAAUGGUAUUCCUUGUUGAUUCAGCUCAUUGAUCAACAAGUUAAAUGGAAUACUACUGGGAGAUUUUUCAGCUUUAAAAAGCUCUUCUUUAGCUGUUAUAGUAGCAUGAAACUUACUAACACAUUAAGCAAUUUAUACCUCUUCAAUCCAAAAAAGACCAAAAAUUCAAUAUAGCACUUAUAGUGAAAAGCUAAAAGACUAGAGGGAUUUUACUACUUUCAGCAAUAUAACAUUUCAUCUAGGACUGUUUUACAACAAGAUAGAACACACCGUUCUACUUAAAAGAGAAGCACGGAUACUCCAGAAAUUGAUAGAAAAUAAAGUUUCUAAUUCUCACUUUGUUGGGUUAUAAAUGAGCCACAAAUACUCCAGAAGUUGAAUACAAUAAAAAGUAAUUGCCAAGAAUUCUAAAAGUAAACCAAUGCAUGCUAGACUAGCUGACUAAAAGUUAGAGAAGUCGAAAAAAACUGGCUAAAUAUUACAUUAAACAAGUUUUGAAACUUACUAACACAUUAAGCAAUUUGUACCUCUUCAAUCCAAUAAAGACCAAAAAUUUUAUAUAGCACUUACAGUGAAAAGCUAAAACACAAAUGUAAACCAACAACUGUAAAUUAUAUUAAGAUGAUCUUACUAGUUGCCGUGGUCUAAUUAUUAGAUGUUCGCACAUUGAGAGAAGUCUUAGAGGUUGUAAUAGUGAUAUUUACUAGUUGAGACUAGUUGCAGCAGUCUCACUAUUAGUUGCAGCUAAAACACAACUUUUAAGCCAAGUAACACAUUAGUUGCAAGAGAGAUUUUACUAGUAGCAGCAAUGUCAUUCAUAUUUGCAACAGCAAUAAAACUUUUCAUCUAGGAUAGUUUUACAACAAGAUAGAACACAUCAUUCCAAUUAAAAGAGAAGCACAACACUAGGCAUCGGGUACUGUAUUCAAAUAUUUACUGCUAAAGAGAAAAGAUUCUCUAAAAUCUAAUACUAAAUUCCUAUUAAAGGGACUGAAACAUAGAAAUACACUCACAAACAAUCUAAACAAAAUGAAGUAAAGAUAAUUUUUUUUAUGGAAAAUAAACAAUUGCAGACAAAUCCUUACUCCAACUUGAAUAAAACCAAAAAUUCUUCUAAGCGUAAGUUUCAAAUAUAAGAACAGAGAAUAUAGCAGAGGAAGAACAAAUUUGAAGGGAAAAAAACCAAACAAAGCAUAGGCUUUUACAAACAAUUCACAAAGGGACACCCAAUCAAAUAUAAUCUAGAAAAGAAAUUGAUUGUAAAAAUAUUUGUUGCGCAGCAACCAAUUUCUACCAACAAAAAAAAUUAAAAAAUUAAGAUUUCACAAACCUGCAAAAAUGGGUUGUUGAGAAAUAAUAAACAAAGGUUAACUCAGAAGAUAUAUAGAGAAAGAAAGUGUGCUUACUUGUGGUGAGAUGAGUAGCAGAUUUUCAGCUUGAUAUUCCCCCCAAACCUGCAAAAAAUGAGUUUAGCAAACCCAUCGUAAGAGAGACAAAAGAAAAAUGUUUCUUAACAUACCAAGAAAAAAAUUUCUUAACAUACCAAGAAAAUGCCUUUGAGAGAAAUAUGGAAAUUUAGGGGAUUUAGGGUUUUUACUUCUAUGAGGAGCGAGGGAGAUGAGACUUGACGGUAGAUUUAGGUUUGAUAAAAGUUA
rnacentral:lncRNA from 1 species